GAUGAACGCUAGCGGCAGGCUUAAUACAUGCAAGUCGAGGGGUAGCAAGAUUGUAGCAAUACAAUUGUUGACGACCGGCAAACGGGUGCGGAACACGUACACAACCUUCCUACAAGUGGGGAAUAGCCCAGAGAAAUUUGGAUUAAUACCCCGUAACAUAGCGAUGUGGCAUCAUAUUGCUAUUAUAGCUUCGGCGCUUGUUGAUGGGUGUGCGGCUGAUUAGAUAGUUGGCGGGGUAAAGGCCCACCAAGUCUACGAUCAGUAGCUGAUGUGAGAGCAUGAUCAGCCACACGGGCACUGAGACGCGGGCCCGACUCCUACGGGAGGCAGCAGUAAGGAAUAUUGGACAAUGGACGCAAGUCUGAUCCAGCCAUGCCGCGUGAAGGAUUAAGGUCCUCUGGAUUGUAAACUUCUUUUAUAAGGGACGAAAAAAGGUCUUUCUAGAUCGUCUGACGGUACCUUAUGAAUAAGCACCGGCUAACUCCGUGCCAGCCGCCGCGGUAA
rnacentral:rRNA from 1 species